AUCCUCGCUUCAGAGAGGGGGCAUGUGCCAGAAAGUCUGAAUUACGCCCAUAUCGGAAGAUCCUUCCUAGAGUUCAAAGGCAGCUGGCUGCAGAGAGAGCCAGGCCUUACCAUUUGCCUUCGUCGGCCUUAAGAGGAGUUGCGAGACCAAAGCCAGUAUCAAGAUCAACAAAACCAGCCAAUUCAGGAUAUCUGGAUAUCAUAGCAACUUUCAUGAGUAAUGUGUUAUCCAGAAUUGGAGCAGCAUGGGCAGGAAAUGAGCAGAAAACCUUUUCCUCACGAUAUGAUAGGUAACCAACGAUGAUAUAGCACUGCCUGGGGAUUCAUGGGAGCAUCAUCAUGGAAUGGCGGAGGAUGCAUCGUCUGAGACUAGAGAUAAGGCAACUCUGUUUACUCUGAGCAAUCCUGAGGAGGAUCGUGCUGAAGUGGAAGCGUUUUCAAAAAGCAUACCUGGAGAUGGUUUGGAGAAAAUGGAUGUCAGCAAAGAAAACAGCAACUUCUCUGCCCGUUCAGACCAAACUACUUUGGAGUAUCACGAUGCAAAAUCACCUGGCGGUUUUUCAUCUGUUCCCAUGUGCCGAAUCGCAAAUAGCUUAGCUGUUGAUUUCUGGUGGCGAAAAAACAAGCUACAGGCAGCAGCCAGCCCGUGUUUUCUCAUGAGUUGAUAGGCAGUGCUUUUCACCUCUUAGUCUAGGCCAAUCUGAAAAUACUAUGAAAUUGUAGACUCUCAAGUAAGAAGGUAGC